rfam:Salmo salar isolate Sally breed double haploid chromosome ssa04, whole genome shotgun sequence.
GUUCAUUACAUUUGUAAGUCGCUCUGGAUAAGAGCGUCUGCUAAAUGACUAAAA